rnacentral:rRNA from 1 species
AAACCAACAGGGAUUGCCUCAGUAACGGCGAGUGAAGCGGCAAAAGCUCAAUAUUGAAAGCCACGGCAUUGUAAUGGGGAGUCUUGGAGCAGCUACCGUCUAUGUUCGUUGGAACACGACGUCACAGAGGGUGAGAAUCCCGUGCGAUGGUAGCGUAACCGCAUAGUCUCCCCGCACGAGUCGAGUUGUUUGGGAAUGCAGCUCUAAGCGGGAGGUAUAUUUCUUCUAAAGCUAAAUACUGGCGAGAGACCGAUAGCGAACAAGUACAGUGAUGGAAAGAUGAAAAGCACUUUGAAAAGAGAGUGAAACAGUACGUGAAAUUGUUGAAAGGGAAGGGUAGGCAAUCAGAGGGGAGGGUCAGGUGGGGGACAGAGACAAGAGCAGAACGAUGCGGGUUUCCGUAUUGCCUGUGGAUAUCUGUGCCCCGCCUGAGGCCCGCUUAUAGGACUCUCCCAUAAUGAUUGUCUACCAC